rnacentral:snRNA from 1 species
AUUGCUUCUCAGUCUUUUGGCUAAGAUCAAGUGUAGUAUCUGUUCUUAACAGUUUAAUAUCUGAUACUUCCUCUAUCCGUAGGCAUGCUAUCUUAAGGCUUAUGGAUGACAUGCAUAUUUUCCAUGGGUGCAUUUCUGGUAAGAGACAGCAUGGUUAUUUUAAUCCAGGGUUUCCUG